rnacentral:misc_RNA from 1 species
GCAUAUGGAAGUUGCACACAUAAGACUCACCAUUGUUGGAGACUUUUGUGCUUUGACAUCUUUUGAGUCUUUGGAUGGCGAUACAGAAUAUAUUCUUCUUAGUUAGUAGAUGGGCAAGAUCAUAAAUAGCAGCUCGUAAAACCAGAUUUCUUGUAAUAAUCAUUUACCCUAUCAAAAUUUCAUGAUACACUAAGGUUCACAGUGCCUCUCCAUUUCGCAGCUUUGAUUUUAGGUCU